AACGAACGCUGGCGGCAUGCCUAACACAUGCAAGUCGAACGAGACCUUCGGGUCUAGUGGCGCACGGGUGCGUAACGCGUGGGAACCUGCCCUUAGGUUCGGAAUAACUCCCCGAAAGGGGUGCUAAUACCGGAUAAUGUCUUCGGACCAAAGAUUUAUCGCCUUUGGAUGGGCCCGCGUUGGAUUAGCUAGUUGGUAGGGUAAAAGCCUACCAAGGCGACGAUCCAUAGCUGGUCUGAGAGGAUGAUCAGCCACACUGGGACUGAGACACGGCCCAGACUCCGAGGGGAGGAGGAGGGGGGGAAUAUGGAACAAGGGGCGAAGGCUGGAACCAGCAUUGCGGGGGGAGUGAUAAGGGCGUUGGGGUUGAAAAGCUUUUUUCCCGGGGAUGAAAAGCACAGCACGGGGAAAAAAACCCCGGCCUACCCCCG
rnacentral:rRNA from 1 species